UGGAUCCAGACUUUGAUUAUGGCUCAGGAUGAACGCUAGCUACAGGCUUAACACAUGCAAGUCGAGGGGAAACGACAUCGAAAGCUUGCUUUUGAUGGGCGUCGACCGGCGCACGGGUGAGUAGCGCGUAUCCAACCUGCCCACCACUUGGGGAUAACCUUGCGAAAGUAAGACUAAUACCCAAUGAUAUCUCUAGAAGACAUCUGAAGGAGAUUAAAGAUUUAUCGGUGAUGGAUGGGGAUGCGUCUGAUUAGCUUGUUGGCGGGGUAACGGCCCACCAAGGCGACGAUCAGUAGGGGUUCUGAGAGGAAGGUCCCCCACAUUGGAACUGAGACACGGUCCAAACUCCUACGGGAGGCAGCAGUGAGGAAUAUUGGUCAAUGGACGAGAGUCUGAACCAGCAAAGUAGCGUGCAGGAUGACGGCCCUAUGGGUUGUAAACUGCUUUUAUAAGGGAAUAAAGUGAGUCUCGUGAGACUUUUUGCAUGUACCUUAUGAAUAAGGACCGGCUAAUUCCGUGCCAGCAGCCGCGGUAAUACGGAAGGUCCGGGCGUUAUCCGGAUUUAUUGGGUUUAAAGGGAGCGUAGGCCGGAGAUUAAGCGUGUUGUGAAAUGUAGACGCCCAACGUCUGCACUGCAGCGCGAACUGGUUUCCUUGAGUACGCACAAAGUGGGCGGAAUUCGUGGUGUAGCGGUGAAAUGCUUAGAUAUCACGAAGAACUCCGAUUGCGAAGGCAGCUCACUGGAGCGCAACUGACGCUGAAGCUCGAAAGUGCGGGUAUCGAACAGGAUUAGAUACCCUGGUAGUCCGCACGGUAAACGAUGGAUGCCCGCUGUUGGUCUGAAUAGGUCAGCGGCCAAGCGAAAGCAUUAAGCAUCCCACCUGGGGAGUACGCCGGCAACGGUGCAACUCAAAGGAAUUGACGGA
rnacentral:rRNA from 2 species